rnacentral:rRNA from 1 species
UAAGGAAUAUUGGUCAAUGGACGCAAGUCUGAACCAGCCAUGCCGCGUGGAGGAUGAAGGUCCUCUGGAUUGUAAACUUCUUUUAUUUGGGAAGAAACCCCCGAUUUCUAUUGGGGUUGACGGUACCAGAUGAAUAAGCACCGGCUAACUCCGUGCCAGCAGCCGCGGUAAUACGGAGGGUGCAAGCGUUAUCCGGAUUCACUGGGUUUAAAGGGUGCGUAGGCGGGCAGGUAAGUCCGUGGUGAAAUCUCCAAGCUUAACUUGGAAACUGCCGUGGAUACUAUUUGUCUUGAAUAUAGUGGAGGUGAGCGGAAUAUGUCAUGUAGCGGUGAAAUGCUUAGAUAUGACAUAGAACACCCAUUGCGAAGGCAGCUCGCUACACUAUUAUUGACGCUGAGGCACGAAAGCGUGGGGAUCAAACAGGAUUAGAUACCCUGGUAGUCCACGCCCUAAACGAUGAUUACUCGACAUCAGCGAUACACUGUUGGUGUCUGAGCGAAAGCAUUAAGUAAUCCACCUGGGAAGUACGACCGCAAGGUUGA